rnacentral:rRNA from 1 species
UACGUAGGGGGCAAGCGUUGUCCGGAUUUAUUGGGCGUAAAGAGCGUGUAGGCGGUUUGGUAGGUCCGCUGUGAAAACUCGAGGCUCAACCUCGAGACGCCGGUGGAAACCAUCAGACUAGAGUCCGGAAGAGGAGAGUGGAAUUCCUGGUGUAGCGGUGAAAUGCGCAGAUAUUAGGAAGAACACCCGUGGCUAAGGCGGCUCUCUAGUACGGUACUGACGCUGAGACGCGAAAGCGUGGGGAGCGAACAGG